rnacentral:rRNA from 1 species
GUCGAGAGGCUUCGGCAAUGGGGGAAACCCUGACCGAGCGACGCCGCGUGAGGGAUGAAGGCCCUUGGGUUGUAAACCUCUUUUGUUGGGGAAGAAAUGUGAUCAGGUGAACAAUCUGGUCGCUUGACGGUACCCGACGAAUAAGCUCCGGCUAACUCCGUGCCAGCAGCCGCGGUAACACGGGGGGAGCAAGCGUUGUUCGGAAUCACUGGGCGUAAAGGGCGUGUAGGCGGUUCGGCAAGUGAGAUGUGAAAUCCCUCGGCUCACCCGAGGACCUGCAUCUCAAACUGCCGGACUAGAGUAUGGGAGAGGAUGAGGGAAUUCCUGGUGUAGCGGUGAAAUGCGUAGAUAUCAGGAGGAACACCGGUGGCGAAAGCGCUCAUCUGGCCCAAUACUGACGCUGAGGCGCGAAAGCUAGGGGAGCAAACGGGAUUAGAAACCCCUGUAGUCC